GCCAUAAAAUGGCUCCGUGGUCUAGAGGUAACGUACUUGCCUCGAAACCUCGGGGUCCCGGGUUCGAUUCCCGGCCGUGGCA
rnacentral:tRNA from 1 species